rnacentral:lncRNA from 1 species
GCCCAGCUCAUCAGUCACGUCGUCAAUGUUGCUCUGUUGCUCCAGUAGCGGAAUUGGCUGUUUUUCUCUCUAGAAUAAAUGUUAAAUGCCUCUAAACACAGAAACAAAUUAAAGACGUUUCCUGGUAAAAUGUGCAGUGGAAAUCGCCAGUUUACGUUUCGACGUGCAGUGAACACCAAAUAUUAUAAAAAUACAAUAACCAGUUGUAUAUUACCAGUGUGGGCAAAUUGCCAAGAUUAUGAUGGGCGGAAAAGAGGAUUAAGAUACGGAAUACCCAAGUGA